CUCCUAUAACCAGUGAGACUGGCUGUCUAGCCAAAACCGGUAUAAAAUAGAAUGGAUUAAGCUCUAGGAGCAGAAUACUUUAUUAGUAGAGACUAUCUGAGUACAGAUUCAAGUUAUUGUCUGUAUCCAAUACUGAAAAAUCAUGGGAACAAGGUAUCCUGCAUACAUUGAUGUGGAGUCGACUUUAAACCUCUCUCCCUGUAAUAUAUUUAAUGAGAUUACCAAGACAGAGUUUCCUGUAGAUCUACAUGAAGUUGUCAGUAAACAAGUGACUAGCAUCAAACAGUUCGUCAAUGGACAAAGUGAAGAUAAAACACUUGAUGCAUAUGUAACAGUGAAAUUGUACAAUAUCAACUCUACAAAUGACCGGUCAAACGUUGAACGCUAUGUAACUAUUGUCCAACAAGCUGUGCAAAAAGUGGUCAAUUGCAACGUGGUGGUGAAGCCAAUAUACAAUAAAGAUUCGGAUGCAAAUGCACUGGAUGCUGAGGCUGGUGGUUGUGCUAAGGCUAACGAAUUCUUUAUCAGCUUCACGGAAGAUGUUGUUCCUUCUUUUACACAUGUUCCCCAAUAUAAUAUUGAUUACCCUCAUCCCCAACAAUAAUAAAAUUACUACACGCAUGCAUGCAGUACAGCUUUAGUCUUGACCCAAAAUCUGCAUGCAAAUCAGACUGAGUAUGUUUUUAUCAUUUUGUUGUGACAGUAAUGCGUGCCGGUGUGAUUGAUUCAACAUUUUCUUUUGUGAAA